CAGACUUUCACUACCUACUCUGACAACCAGCCUGGUGUGCUUAUUCAGGUUUAUGAGGGUGAGCGUGCCAUGACCAAGGAUAACAAUCUGCUUGGGAAAUUUGAACUCACAGGCAUACCUCCUGCCCCCCGUGGUGUUCCUCAAAUUGAAGUCACUUUUGAUAUUGAUGCCAAUGUCAUUCUCAACAUCUCUGCUGUGGAUAAGAGUACAGGAAAAGAGAAUAAAAUCACUAUCACUAAUGACAAGGGUCAUUUGAGCAAGGAAGACAUUGAGUGUAUGGUCCAGGAGGCUGAAAAGUACAAAGCUGAAGAUGAGAAGCAGAGGGACAAAGUGUCAUCCAAGAAUUCACUUGAAUCCUAUGCCUUUAACAUGAAGGCAACUGUUGAAGAUGAGAAACUUCAAGGCAAGAUCAAUGAUGAGAACAAACAGAAGAUUCUUGACAAGUGUAAUGAAAUUAUCAGCUGGUUUGACAAGAAUCAGACUGCAGAGAAGGAGGAAUUUGAACACCAGCAGAAAGAACUGGAGAAAGUCUGCAAUCCCAUCAUUACCAAGCUGUACCAGAGUGCAGGAGGCAUGCCAGGAGGAAUGCCUGGGGGAUUCCCUGGUGGUGGAGCUCCUCCCUCUGGUGGUGCUUCCUCAGGGCCCACUAUCGAAGAGGUUGAUUAAGGCAGCCCAACUGUAGAUGUAGCAUUGUUCCACACAGUUAACGUUGAAGACCCAAAUUAGUAGCAAAUUCUGUGGCAGUUUUUAAAGUUGAGCUGCUAUAGUAAAUUACUGGGCAUUCUUAAUACUUGAAUAUGGAACAUGUGCACAGGGGAAGGAAAUAACAUUGCACUUUAUAAGCACUGUAUUGUAAGUGGAAAAUGCAAUGUCUUAAAUAAAACUAUUUAAAAAUUGGCACCAUA